rnacentral:lncRNA from 1 species
UCCAGAGGCAACUUUUGGAACUCACUCUGCCCACAAAGAUGGAGUAGUGUCUGGUGCUUAACGGAACACCAGAUGCUUUUGAUAGGCCAUCACAGCAAGAUCUGAGGAAGAGCUUCCUCUGUUCCCAAAGGAUCCCUUUUACAGUUCUCACAACCUGACCCCAGCAUCCCUGGGAAUGCCGACUGACAGCUGCAUGGAGUGUAGCCACAGCAGCCCUGUCGGGUGCCAGCUGGACGUGCCUGGCCGCCACCCGGGGAUGUCAGAGCAGAGCUGCAGGCCACCCUUCCGCCAGCAGGAAGCCCAGCCGCAAACACUUGGACAGGAAGCCUGUGUGCUGGCCAGCUGAGCCAGCUCUGGUUUCUCUUGUGUCUGAGGGUUUGGCCUCUGGGUAGAAGAAAGCGAGCCAGGUGCUGAGGACUGCUCUGACGGGGCCAUGGCCUCCCUCCACGCCCCCCCCCCCCCCAGCUUGGGUUGCGGGUUCAAGGGUGUAAGCCGAAAAGCAUCAUCCAAGCGGAGGCAGAAGGGGUGUUUCCUGGAGGCAGGGUGAGGGAGCAGGGAACAUGCUGUUUACCAGGACUGGGCCAGCUGGCUGAGGCUACACUGCGAACCCUUUGUGCUGGCUCCAGGCGAGAUGGGGUUGAUGGUUCAGCCCUGAAGUGCAAACCCAAGUUACUUCCCACUUCCCAGCUGCGUCUGCCUCUGGGAACCCACACUGGAGUCUCUCUCAG